GAACCUUGCACUGGCAAGGUCUGCUGUGCUGCCUGAUGGAACAGAUAUCGUACCUCCUUUCACAACCGAGUGCUGGAGAGAGAAAUGGGCACAUCAGAAAAUAAGCACUGAGAACUUUUUGCAAACUAAUAGACUAUCUUUGUAGAAUGAACUGACCGUGGAGCCCUUUUCUCAGCACAACUGAACUUGUCCAGGUACCACACGGUAACAGUAACAGAUUUCAGGUUUUUCCUCCCCAGCUCCCCCACCCCUCACAGGAAAACACCACAAAAAGAAGAGCACAAAGCCCAGAAGGGAAACGAAGAGGUAGACGGAGCUUCAGCCAUCGCCGUUGGCAAGACGUCCUCCUGUGCUCUGAGGAGUUCCUUGUUGGGUCGCAUUGCAGCACUGCACGCCAACAGGUAAUGCUGCAUGUGGCAACCGAGCGCUGUGCCAGAGCUGCAGAAUGGAUGGGGCUGUCCUGCUGCACAUUUCUUUGCCCAGCUGAAGCUGUUUAAAACCAGCCUGUGCUGUUCAGAUAAUAGGUGCAUCUGCCAAAUGACUAUGGCCUUGCUCACAAGGUCAGACUCCCAUUUCUCUUAGGUAGCAGCAACCUGGGGUCAGUGGGGACCUGGGUUCUGUUCCCAGCAUCCCCUGAACUCGUAGAAACUUUGAGGGGAAUCAUUGCUACACAGCACCCUGUGCAGAAACUGCAGGCGGAGCACCCACAGUUUCCAGCAGGUACUCGAGCAGAGGAGGGCUGCAGGAAUUGCUUCCCCCAACCUGCUGCUCCACUCCUCCCCUUACACCACUGCUGCCACAGAGAGGUUCCUCUAUUUGUCCUCCCCAGAGCUCCAUAACCAACACUGUCACUUAACACUCAGCUGCAUGGUGAACUGUUUUUUCCCCAGUAUUUGUAGACUUCAUGGCAAGCACAAUAGAGACUGUGCAUCUAUUAGAUACAAGCACAAUAAAUACAGCCCUCAAACAAAAUCAUCUCUGCUAUUAAGGAUUAGAAGCACGUGAAAUAACCUUGAAAAAAAAAAUCAACUUUAUUUUGCCACACAAAAAAAAAGGGAAAAAGACACCUCAUAGUCUCUGAAGAGAAAUGCUUCUGGUAUCUGCCUGCAGUUCUGAAAGACAUCCCGGCUGCUGGAAAUACCCGAUAAAAAACCCAAUGAAAUAAUUCCAGUACAAUGAAUCCAACCACAACAGCCCUCUGCACAACUGCAGAGUAACUGCGCCCAUUUGCCAUACAGAGCACAGCGUGGCUAACACGGGGGAAGGAGAAAACUGGACGCUAACAUAAAUGCUAUCGAGAAAACUAACUUUUACCAUACAAAACAAACACCGUUGUAGAGAAACUUUAAAAGGACUCACUCACUGUAAGAGGACAGUUGUUCAGUGUAUCAUUAAACUUCAGUAUCUGAUGCUUAAAUCAAAGGUUUAACUUGAAAAUACACAGAAUCCUUUUAAAUCCUUUCUGCAUCCCAGGCAGAGUCCACAGCUUUUGCACAGAGAAAGUGAAAUUGCUCAGAAGUGUUCAUAAUGCACACAGACUUUUAAAGUCAGAGAACAGUUUCAGUUUUGCUCUUCCAACUGUUCU
rnacentral:lncRNA from 7 species